UACGUAGGGUGCAAGCGUUGUCCGGAAUUAUUGGGCGUAAAGAGCUCGUAGGCGGUUUGUCGCGUCUGCUGUGAAAACUGGAGGCUCACCCUCCAGCCUGCAGUGGGUACGGGCAAACUAGAGUGCGGUAGGGGAGAUUGGAAUUCCUGGUGUAGCGGUGGAAUGCGCAGAUAUCAGGAGGAAUACCGGUGGCGAAGGCGGCAUCCUGGACCAAUACUGACGCUGAGGCGCGAAAGCUAGGGGAGCAAACGGG
rnacentral:rRNA from 1 species